AGCAGCCGCGGUAAUUCCAGCUCCAAUAGCGUAUAUUAAAGUUGUUGCAGUUAAAAAGCUCGUAGUUGAAUUUCGGGGUUAGUAGGUUGGUCAUGCCUCUGGUAUGUACUGGUCUCACUGAUUCCUCCUUCCUGAUGAGCCGUAAUGCCAUUAAUUUGGUGUUGCGGGGAAUUUGGACUAGUUACUUUGAAAAAAUUUAGAGUGUUUAAAGCAGGCUCACGCUUGAAUACAUUAGCAUGGAAUAAUGAAAUAGGACGUUUUGAUUCUAUUUUGUUGGUUUCUAGGAUCGACGUAAUGAUUAAUAGGGAUAGUUGGGGGCAUUAGUAUUCAAUUGUCAGAGGUGAGAUUCUUGGAUUUAUUGAAGACUAACUACUGCGAAAGCAUUUGCCAAGGAUGUUUUCAUUAAUCAAGAACGAAAGUUAGGGGAUCGAAGACGAUCAGAUACCGUCGUAGUCUUAACCAUAAACUAUGCCGACUAGGAAUCGGAUGAUGUAAUUUUUAAUGACUCAUUC
rnacentral:rRNA from 1 species